AUUUUUUCCUUUUCUUUUUGGAGUGAAAAAUGUGUGUUUUUGAAAAUUGCUUGUUACCAUGAUGAUAUCACAUUUUCGCCGUUUACCCAUCAGACCAGACUGGGUUGUUGACACUGUGACUAUCUGAAGCAUGACUUGAAUUGACUACCCAGAACCCCAUUUGAGAAUACUACAGUAUUGAUUUUAUUCUACCUCCCCUACCAGAUCGAAGGACUGAAUCUAGAAAAUGGUGACAUGAAAAAUGCAGAUGAAUGAAGACCGGUUACUUGUAUACUGAUCUAAGGACAAACUAGAAAACGGGUGACAGAAGUGCUGAUGAAUGAAGACUGGUUACUUGCAUACUGGUUGCGUAGGUGUGCACAAAAUUCAAGAUCUGCUUGCGGGAUUCUUCCAGUGUACGGUCCCGCUGGUGCAAGGAGUCCAGGUCAUGAAGAGCACAGGGAAACACUGCAUCGGGUGGAAAAACAAGCGCAGAGGCCCCUGCAUUCCCAAGACAAACUCUCAUUCCAAAACACUCAACACACACAGUAACAGGAGCUUGAUCCUAACUUUAAACUAGUAAUGAAGUGCAAAAAUGUGAAUGGGUUGUGAUCAAAUGCACAUAUUGAAAUAAAUUAUCUUAAAAA